CAUCCUUUUACCGUAGCUGGGACCACCUACCACACAACGUUAAAAAGCAUGGCUUUGUGGCUAUUUCAGAGCAGAUGACCUUCACCUUCACCUCCAUCUCCAAAAUCCAAAUAUUUUACCAUGUUUGCCACCCCCACCACCACCACCCUGCCCACCAUUUCCACCCCCCACUCUGCCUCCAACACCGCCAGCGCCAGCAUUUGAGUUUCCUCCACUCUCACCUUUUCCGCCAUUGCCCGAUUUGCCGCCUUUCAGUGCAUCACCACCACCACCACCCAAACCUCUGUCACCACCAGACAACACAUGGCCACCACCAAGUCAACCACAACCACUACUCACGCCGCUCCUUCUGGUGUGUAUCUUGGCUCUAACAAUAAUAACCACCUUCGUCACAAUGAAAAUUUACAAUUCUCUACGAAACCCGCCUCCGGGAGAGCAGACACAACACAACCAGGGUCAAGGACGGGCUGAGGAGCAUUCAGUCAAUAUACUGUACGUAGUGAUGUUAAUAUGGCCCUGGCUUACAAAGGUGCCGGGGACUAGAUCACAUUGACCGUCAUAGAUAGUGACUGGUGAAGGCACUGGAGAAUGCGGCAUUGCUUCUAAUACUCCAUUAUUUUGGUUUUGUUACGUAGAUGGACAAUAAAAAAAAAUCAGAGCAGCAGUUCAGAUUUAUCCAUCCUUACUAUCGGGGCUAUACUAUUGGAUGGUAGUGGUUUUAUACUAUUACGGCUAUGUAUUAUGGAAUAUUGUUUUAAGUGUUUUGGAUGAUUAUGUAUUAAAACUUGGAUGGUGUGGUAUGUGGUAGCAAAAUGAGAAUUAUAAUGUUGGAAUUUUA